UACGUAGGGGGCUAGCGUUGUCCGGAAUCAUUGGGCGUAAAGAGCGUGUAGGCGGCCCGGUAAGUCCGCUGUGAAAGUCGGGGGCUCAACCCUCGAAUGCCGGUGGAUACUGUCGGGCUAGAGUGCGGAAGAGGCGAGUGGAAUUCCUGGUGUAGCGGUGAAAUGCGCAGAUAUCAGGAGGAACACCGAUUGCGAAGGCAGCUCGCUGGGACGGUACUGACGCUGAGGCGCGAAAGCGUGGGGAGCAAACAGG
rnacentral:rRNA from 1 species